rnacentral:rRNA from 1 species
GAUGAACGCUAGCUACAGGCUUAACACAUGCAAGUCGAGGGGAAACGCCAUUGAAGCUUGCUUCGAUGGUCGUCGACCGGCGCACGGGUGAGUAACGCGUAUCCAACCUGCCUCUGACCAAGGGAUAACCCGUCGAAAGUCGGCCUAAUACCUUAUGCAGUCGUCGGAAGUCAUCUGAUGACGACGAAAGAUUUCAUCGGUGAGAGAUGGGGAUGCGUCUGAUUAGCUUGUUGGCGGGGUAACGGCCCACCAAGGCAACGAUCAGUAGGGGUUCUGAGAGGAAGGUCCCCCACAUUGGAACUGAGACACGGUCCAAACGCCUACGGGAGGCAGCAGUGAGGAAUAUUGGUCAAUGGGCGAGAGCCUGAACCAGCCAAGUAGCGUGCAGGAUGACGGCCCUAUGGGUUGUAAACUGCUUUUAGGCGGGGAUAAAGUGAGGGACGUGUCCUUCAUUGCAGGUACCGCAUGAAUAAGGACCGGCUAAUUCCGUG